CAGGAAUUUUAGUGAGGAUCUUGAUGCACCGGGCUAAGAUGGAGUAAUCAAGCAAACGUAACAUUUAAGUUUGGAAAUUCCAACAAGCGUUUAAUAAUUGUUUGAUCACAAAUGGCUGGAAUGUGGUUGUGAAUUUAUGACUGAAAUGAAGCUGAUCACAUCCGCACGCACUUUCACUUUGUAAAAGACAGCGUUUAUUUAUAAAUCUGCACACAAUGAGUGCACCAUGAUCAACUUUUCUUAUAUUUGCAUCUUGUGGAUCAGCAUCUUUGCAGACAUCGUCUUUACACAAUUUCAGUUGAGUGUAUCUGGCAAAGUGGGCUCUACAGUUGUCCUACCGUGUGAACUAUGGAGUGCAAACACUGAAAUACUGAAUAUUAGAUGGCUCAGCAAUGAAGGUCUUGUGUUUGAGAAACAGAACAAGACAGUAACUCAGGGUGAGGGAUAUGAGGGUCGUGUGGACGUUCCUGAGGAUGAGCUUCUUAAGGCAAACUGCUCCUUGGUGUUGCGCAAUCUGACACCUACUGAUGCAAGAGAAUACUUUAGCCACCAGAAAGUGAAUGAGUCUGUCGCGCA